CCUACGGGUGGCAGCAGUGAGGAAUAUUGGUCAAUGGGCGCUAGCCUGAACCAGCCAAGUAGCGUGAAGGAUGAAUGUCCUAUGGGUUGUAAACUUCUUUUAUAUGGGAAUAAAGUGCAGUAUGUAUACUGCUUUGCAUGUACCUUAUGAAUAAGGAUCGGCUAACUCCGUGCCAGCAGCCGCGGUAAUACGGAGGAUCCGAGCGUUAUCCGGAUUUAUUGGGUUUAAAGGGUGCGUAGGCGGGUUGUUAAGUCAGUGGUGAAAGUUUGGGGCUCAACCGUAAAAUUGCAGUUGAAACUGGCAGCCUUGAGUACGGUAGAGGCAGGCGGAAUGCGUGGUGUAGCGGUGAAAUGCUUAGAUAUCACGCAGAACUCCGAUUGCGAAGGCAGCCUGCUGGACUGUAACUGACGCUGAUGCACGAAAGCGUGGGUAUCAAACAGGAUUAGAUACCCGGGUAGUC
rnacentral:rRNA from 1 species